UACGAAGGGGACUAGCGUUGUUCGGAAUCACUGGGCGUAAAGGGCGCGUAGGCGGCUUUGUAAGUCGGGGGUGAAAGCCUGUGGCUCAACCACAGAAUUGCCUUCGAUACUGCAUGGCUUGAGACCGGAAGAGGUAAGUGGAACUGCGAGUGUAGAGGUGAAAUUCGUAGAUAUUCGCAAGAACACCAGUGGCGAAGGCGGCUUACUGGUCCGGAUCUGACGCUGAGGCGCGAAAGCGUGGGGAGCAAACGGG
rnacentral:rRNA from 1 species